UUUCACCACUGAACACCUGGGUUGGGUUAUUUUGACCCAACCGGUUUGUUUAUUUUUCCUCUUCAUCGAAUUUUUUGGGUUCUUCACUCGUCUCAUCGUCAGACGGUCAAGCAACUCGCAGCAAGCAGGAUUAUAAGAAUUUGUUUUGCCUCCCAAAAAAAUUUGAGAAAUGGUGGAUUCGCAGCAAUGGGUCUACAAGCAUCCCAUAAAUCUUGAAGGAGUUCCCCAGGCUUCUAGAAAAACUUGGCAAGAUGCUAAAAGGGAGAGUGCUUUCAAAGUCCUGCCCACUCUGCUUCCCCAAUCAAUAUUCAAGAACGGAGGAAAGGUCUUCAGACCCACAACCACAGAAUCCUGGAAGUCAUUCAUCUGACGUAAAACCUGUGGGGACCAACAUGGUGAUGCAUUCCUGCACAUUCUGUGCCUCGGUGACGAGACAGCGACAUCCCACACCUUCGCCAUUGUUUCGGGGCAUGCCGUUGAAACGGACUUGUUGCUUGAGGCUGUUUAUCUUUUUUCAAGUCCUUUUUUGUGCUUGAUGUCAGCUACACUAACAUCUUCCUUCCUGGGAAUUUCUCCAGCAUGCAGUAUAUCAUAUUGAUGGACA